GAUUAAUUUCUUAUUAUUCCUCUCGACGUUCUUCACAUCUUCGAUCCUUCAUUGCAGAGUAAACAAAAUUUCGUCACAAUUUUCACAGAAACACUCGCAUAAUCCCAUGGGCGAAGAACUACCCUGCAAGUCGAUGGAAGGAGGAAUCUGCGUCUUGCCUGCUUGAGAGAGACGCACCGAGUGCGAGAUUCAGAGAUCUUUUCCGCUGUAGAGGCCGCAGUUGUCUGUUUCUUGUUAGUGUUUAGUUUUUUCUUCUGAGAGAUGAAAGCUUCGAUAGCGUUGUAUUGCUUUCUAUGAUCAUCACAUAUCAUAUUAAAGAAAAGAAAAAGGGUUUUUUUUUUUUUGGUGCUUGUUUGUUCAAUUUCUUUGUUUGAUGUGUUAUGGAAUUGUUGUAGCGACGGGCUCGGCUCGAACUGAAUGAAUUAUUUUCCGAUAAAUUUGAACCAUCGGAGCUCAGCAGCUGUGUAAUUAACA